rnacentral:rRNA from 1 species
AACGAACGCUGGCGGCAUGCCUAACACAUGCAAGUCAAACGAUGGCUUCGGCCAUAGUGGCGCACGGGUGCGUAACGCGUGGGAACCUGCCCUUAGGUUCGGAAUAACUCAGAGAAAUUUGAGCUAAUACCGGAUAAUGUCUUCGAACCAAAGAUUUAUCGCCUUUGGAUGGGCCCGCGUAGGAUUAGGUAGUUGGUGGGGUAAUGGCCUACCAAGCCGACGAUACUUAGCUGGUCUGAGAGGAUGAUCAGCCACACUGGGACUGAGACACGGCCCAGACUCCUACGGGAGGCAGCAGUGGGGAAUAUUGGACAAUGGGGGAAACCCUGAUCCAGCAAUGCCGCGUGAGUGAUGAAGGCCUUAGGGUUGUAAAGCUCUUUUACCCGGGAUGAUAAUGACAGUACCGGGAGAAUAAGCUCCGGCUAACUCCGUGCCAGCAGCCGCGGUAACAC